rnacentral:rRNA from 1 species
AUUGAACGCUGGCGGCAGGCCUAACACAUGCAAGUCGAGCGGAGCGGCGGACGGGAGAGUAAUGCCUAGGAAUCUGCCUGGUCGUGGGGGAUAACGUCCGGAAACGGGCGCUAAUACCGCUUACUAUCAGUUGAGCCUAGGUGGGAUUAGCUAGUUGGUGGGGUAAAGGCCUACCAAGGCGACGAUCCGUAACUGGUCGGAGAGGAUGAUCAGUCACACUGGAACUGAGACAGUGGCCAGACUCCUACGGUAUGCAGCAGUGGGGAAUAUUGGACAAUGGGCGAGAUCCUGAUCCAGCCAUGCCGCGUGUGUGAAGAAGGUCUUCGGAUUGUAAAGAACUGUAAGUUGGGAGGCGUUACCAGCAGAAUAAGCACCGGCUAACUUCGUGCCAGCAGCCGCGGUAAUUC